rnacentral:tRNA from 1 species
GGGGAUAUGGCGGAAUUGGUAGACGCUGCGGACUUAAAAUCCGUUGAUUGAAUAAAUCGUGAGGGUUCAAGUCCCUCUAUCCCCA